rnacentral:rRNA from 1 species
CGUAGGUUACUGCGGAGACAUUAACGAGUAAACAGGAGAGUUGUAGCUGGCCGCAAGGCAUGUGCACGCUCUCUACUCAAUCCAACCUUACACCUGUGCACCUAUUGUAGGUCGAGUGGCUGGACUUGUUCUGGUUGCUCUUCCUAUGUUUUACACAUACACUUGUAGUCUCAGAAUGUAAUCAGCGUAUAACGCAUUAUAAAACAACUUUCAACAACGGAUCUCUUGGCUCUCGCAUCGAUGAAGAACGCAGCGAAAUGCGAUAAGUAAUGUGAAUUGCAGAAUUCAGUGAAUCAUCGAAUCUUUGAACGCACCUUGCGCUCCUUGGUAUUCCGAGGAGCAUGCCUGUUUGAGUGUCAUGAAUAUCUCAACUCACCUGGUUUUUAUUAACUGUGGUGGGCUUGGACUUGGAGGUAUGCUGGCUGACUAGUCGGCUCCUCUCUAAAUGCAUUAGCUGGACCUGUUAUGGAUCAGUACUCGGUGUGAUAAUUGUCUACGCCGUGUCUGUGAAGUGCUUGAAUGGACUAGCUUCUAACCGUCUUCGGACAACUAUUGACAUUUUGACCUCAAAUCAGGUAGGAUUACCCGCUGAACUUAAGCAUAUCAA